CCUGGAGAUGAGCUCGCGUCUGAUUAGCUAGUUGGUAGUGUAAGGGACUACCAAGGCNACGAUCGGUAGCUGGUCUGAGAGGAUGAGCAGCCACACUGGGACUGAGACACGGCCCAGACUCCUACGGGAGGCAGCAGUGGGGAAUUUUCCGCAAUGGGCGAAAGCCUGACGGAGCAAUACCGCGUGAGGGAGGAAGGCCUUUGGGUUGUAAACCUCUUUUAAUAGGGAAGAAAAAAAUGACGGUACCUAUUGAAUAAGCAUCGGCUAACUCCGUGCCAGCAGCCGCGGUAAUACGGAGGAUGCAAGCGUUAUCCGGAAUUAUUGGGCGUAAAGAGUCCGUAGGCGGUCAAUCAAGUCUGCUGUUAAAGAAUGGAGCUUAACUCCAUCAAAGCAGUGGAAACUGGUAGACUAGAGUCUAGGAGGGGUAGAGGGAAUUCCCAGUGUAGCGGUGAAAUGCGUAGAGAUUGGGAAGAACACCAGUGGCGAAGGCGCUCUACUGGACUAGAACUGACGCUGAGGGACGAAAGCUAGGGUAGCGAAAGGGA
rnacentral:rRNA from 1 species